CUAUACAUGCAGUCGAGCGGACAGAAGGGAGCUUGCUCCCUGAUGUUAGCGGCGGACGGGUGAGUAACACGUGGGUAACCUGCCUGUAAGACUGGGAUAACUCCGGGAAACCGGAGCUAAUACCGGAUGGUUCCUUGAACCGCAUGGUUCAAGGAUGAAAGACGGUUUCGGCUGUCCCUUACAGAAGGACCCCCGGCGCAAUAACUAGUUGGGGAGGUAACGGCUCACCCAGGGGAACAUUCGUAACCCACCUGAAAGGGUGAUCGGCCACCCUGGGACUGAAAACCGGCCCAAAACCCCACGGGAGGGAGCAAUAGGGAAUCUUCCGCCAUGGAACAAAGUCUUACCGAACAACCCCCCGGGGGUGAUGAAAGUUUUCGGAACGGAAAGCUCUUUUUGGUAGGGAAAAACAAGUGCCAGAAUAACUGGUUGGACCUUGGACGGUCCCAACCCCAAAGCCCCCGGUAAAUAUCUGGCCACAAACCCACAAA
rnacentral:rRNA from 2 species